rnacentral:lncRNA from 1 species
AAGUAGUGAGGGUUACUAAUAUUGAAUCAGUAAUAAUGGAAAGAAAAGAGCGUUUGAAGGUUGGGCGUAAGCUGCUAAAAAGAAGGGUCGGUUCAGGUAAGGAUUUUGAUGUUUUUAACAAAAGAAAAUUAGCAUUUUAAAAUUUAAUGCACUUGAUGUUUCUAAAAUCUUUGGCAUACAGACUUUAUGGCCUGUGCCACUAAUUGAUUUACACGAAAUAUGUACGAAAAUCGAUUAUAGCAACUAAAUUAUUGAUGCGUUAAUUAAAUCAAUUUUAUAUUUAUAUGUUAAAAUAAGGAUUAGGUUCUGGGUUACUGCUAGUUGAAUUCAUGUUGGGCUGGAAUUAUUCUUAUAGAUAUUCUAUCAUAAUUUAAGUUUUGGUAUAUUGAUAUAGGUAAUUAAAUAUUAGGUAUAGUAUAUUAUAAUAAUAUCAUUAGAAUUAUGUUAUUCGGAGAAUUAAGAUUUAACCCUAAACUUGAAAUUCAAAAAAUAUGAGGUUUGAUCAAUUGGUUUGAAUAAAGAUUUAGAAAUUUUAUUAUAAAUUUGGAUGAGUUUUGGGUCUAAGCUAGAGAUAUAGCAAUAUGAAUGUUGUUAGUUUCGAAAUGAUAUCGUGGUUAUUAAUUUUGAAUAGAUUUUAUUGGUUUGGAAGUCAACCAAAAGAGGAAGGCUCAAGUUUUGGAGUCAUUGUUCGACUAUUUGAGGCAAGUGGAUUUCUAAACUCUUGUUAAGUGUAUGAAAUGCGUGUAUUUCCUUGUGGUAUAUGUUUGGGAGUAACGGGAUUGGUGAUGGGUUGACUUGUCCACAUUUAUUAAUUCUAAUGAUGAAAAAAUUGGGAUAACAAAAGUCUAUGUGAUUAAUUGUUUAUGUGUGUUGUGUUGAGAAAGGGUUGAAGUCUUGUUGAAUCAUUGUUGAUGUAACUUCAUGUUUGUGUGGUUGUGAACUGUGCGAUGUUAUGAAAAUGGUCAUCUCCUCAUUAUUUGUGUGAACUUGUCAUCUGCAUUAUUCUGAGGCAUUGGUUGUGACAAGUGUUAUGCGCAUUGAGAAAGAAUAGGUACUUAAGAGGAUGUACCAUUUCGAGGGACGUAUCGCGCGCCGCGAUGGAUACUAUAUUUCGAGGGACAUAUCGCGCGCCGCGAUGGAUACUAUAUUUCGAGGGACGUAUCGCGCGCUGCGAUGGUUACUAUUAUCGAGGGUCGUGUCGUGCGCCGCGACAGAUGCAUGGACAUAUAUGUCUCCCAUGGGUCCCGGACUGAGAGACAGUGGGUGUGUAUCACUAGGUCAGACAUGCAUCAUUAUACUUGACAUUGCAUUCCAUUGCAUUGCACAUACUUACCAUUAGUGAACUUGAUAUCGUAUUUCGCUGAUGUUUUGAUUGCCUUUCUGCGGAACUUGUGAUUGAUCAAUAUUGAGCUUGUUAUUGCGGAUAUGUAAUUUGUUGAAGUAUUGUUGUUGAGGAUAUGUAAUUUGUUGAAGUAUUGUUGUUGAGGAUAUGUAAUUUGUUGAAGUGUUGUUGUUGAGGAUAUGUAAUUUGCCUAAGUGUUGUUGUUGAGCUAUGUGCUAUGUAAAUUGUGAGCUGUUAGGUUGGGUUGAUUUUAAUGCAGGUUGUAUUUGUGGAGGUUCGGUUGGGGGUGGUAGGAGUACCCGUAUUUCAUCCCCUUAGCUUAUGUUUAGAGGUUUACUUGCUGAGUACCGUGUGGUUUGGUACUCACCCCUUGCUUCUACAAAUUUUUGUAGGUUAUGAGCCUGGAUUUUUGUUGUACUUGUCAGUCUCUUCUUUUCCGAGGCUUCAUGGAGAUUUGUGAGGUAGCUGUUUCCAUCUCAGCAGACUUUCUUCUCCAUAAUUAUGAUCUUGUUCUAUUCUAGAAACAAGUUCAUUUGAGACUUGAGUUUUUUUCUUUUGAAUCUUGUAAUACUUUAGAGGCUUGUACACGUGACUACCAGGUCUUGGGGGUUUAAUUAAGUUACUUAUAUUUUAUUUCUGCACUUUAUUAUAAUGAUUGAGUUUUAGGCUGACUUGUCUUGGUGGGAUAAGACGAGUGUCAUCACGUCCAUUUUUGGAUCGUGACAUAGUUAAAGAUUUUAUCGUUUAACUCUAUAAAAGAAAACUAUGACAAAUAAAAACAAACGGAAGGGAGUAAGAAGAAAGUUGUAUAACGAAAUACUUCUCGUAACAUUAGUUAUACUAUCCAUUACAACAUUAAUUAAUUAAAACUAAUUACACUAUAUAUAUGUAAUAAUAGUGAUUUAACACAUUGAGGAUUCUUUUAACUUAUCAACAAUUAGACAUUUAUAAUAUGUUAUCAAUUGAGCAUCUGAUGAACGCAUGAUAAUAUAUUCAUUCAAACGUUCGUUACGUGAAUAAAUUAAUCAUAUAAAUAUAUAUUCUUCUUUAAGUAGACGUCAAUUAGUUUCGCAUUCCCUCUAAUUGGAUGGGCAUCAACCGAUUUUUCGAUCAGAUCCCCUUAAAAAUUGUACAUACAAAUCUAUCCCAAUACAGCUAUCGAC